GACGAAGGGGGCUAGCGUUGUUCGGAAUUACUGGGCGUAAAGCGCGUGCAGGCGGUUGCCCAAGUCGGGUGUGAAAGCCUUGAGCUCAACUCAAGAAAUGCACUCGGUACUGGGUGACUAGAGGACCGGAGAGGAUAGUGGAAUUCCCAGUGUAGUGGUGAAAUACGUAGAGAUUGGGAAGAACACCAGUGGCGAAGGCGGCUAUCUGGACGGUUUCUGACGCUAAGACGCGAAAGCGUGGGGAGCAAACAGG
rnacentral:rRNA from 1 species